rnacentral:rRNA from 1 species
UACGUAGGGGGCUAGCGUUGUCCGGAAUCAUUGGGCGUAAAGCGCGCGUAGGCGGCCAGAUAAGUCCGGUGUGAAAGUCAAAGGCUCAACCUUUGAAUGCCGCUGGAAACUGUCUGGCUUGAGUCCGGGAGGGGCGAGUGGAAUUCCUGGUGUAGCGGUGAAAUGCGCAGAUAUCAGGAGGAACACCAGUGGCGAAGGCGGCUCACUGGCCCGGUACUGACACUGAGAAGGCGAAAGCAUGGGGAGCGAACAGG